rnacentral:rRNA from 1 species
CGGCGUGCCUAACACAUGCAAGUCGUAACGGGGAGUUUGUUAGGCAGAAUCCUAGUGGCGAACGGGUGAGUAACGCGUAGGCAACCUGCCCUCCGCCGGGACACACUCCGAAAGGGUGCGUAAUACCGGAUACGAAGUCUGUGCCGCAUGGUACGGAUUUGAAAGAUGGCCUACUAUUUUAUAAGCUAUCGCCGGGGGAUGGGCCUGCGUCCGAUUAGCUGGUUGGUGGGGUAACGGCCUACCAAGGCGACGAUCGGUAGCCGGUCUGAGAGGAUGAACGGCCACAUUGGGACUGAGACACGGCCCAGACUCCUACGGGAGGCAGCAGUGGGGAAUCUUCCGCAAUGGGCGCAAGCCUGACGGAGCAACGCCGCCGUGAGUGAGGAAGUUCUUCGGAACGUAAAGCUCUGUUGUUCCUGACGAACCUCCCCUUUAUCAACAACGGAGGGGACUGACGGUAGGGAACGAGGAAGCCACGGCUAACUACGUGCCAGCCGCAGC